rnacentral:lncRNA from 1 species
AACUAGAUGACAAAGGAACAAUGCAUAAUCGUGAUUAAAUUAUAAAGAUGACCUCUCUCAUUAAACAACUAGUAGUGCUUAAUGGAAUCUCAACUGAACUUUAUGCCUUCUAUUUGCCACAUAAGCAUUUCAAAUCUCAUAUUUCUUUCUGGCUAAGAGAGGUCAAUGGCCAUUAACAUAUUGCAAAUACAUAUUUCAUAGGGUUGACAUCAGAUGGGAUCAGUGCUGCUUGAAUGAUUAUCUUCGGUUGCUAUGCAUUCUGAUUGUACAUCUGAAUGGUAAACAUGAAUCAGCAUUCCAAGUGAAAGAGGUCCGGUAGGCUAAAAUUUCUCUUCUUUACUUGGAGAAUGACACAAACAUAAAAAUAAUACCAUGGAUGGGUCAAGUGUUUGCUCUCCUUUGUGGUCUCCAUUAAAUGAUGGUGACAUAUAGGAGGAGAGAUUAAAUUCCCCAUGCAACUGGUAUGGAAGGUGCUUUGUGGGUCAAUGACACCUCUUGCACUUAGUGGAUGAAGACACAGCUUGCUUUAAGUUGGUAAAGCAGUGAAGACCAGAUUAGAAGAACUUUGUAGCAAUCUGCAGGCAUCCACAAAAAGGAGCUUUGUGGUAGCUUGGUGGCUCACACUCUGUUGCAGGCACCUAAUCAAAAGAGAAGUCUUGUGUUCAUCUGCUUUACAUGUUUGAAGUCUUCUGAAUGGCAAACUGCACAUCAUAAGCAAACUGAUUCAUUCAAUGCACUCAGAGGAAGAAAAGGCUGGUAUAGAAUAAUCAUAUCAGAGC